GCUGUGUUUCCUGCUGAUGGUUGUAUCUUUCUCUGUCCUGCCUACAAUGUCUCUGGAAUCAGAGGGCUCUGCUACGUUGGAGUUGCUGGAACAGCAGAGGAAGCAAACAGGGGUGAUUGUGAACUCUUUUGGAGAAGUUUUCUAGAAUCCUGCGCCGGUUUUUCGUGUGACUGGACGAGGCUCUGUCAUAAUUUCAAUUUUGCUUUUUUAAGCCGAAUUUGUUUUUUAUUUCC